AGUGGCGUACGGGUGAGUAACACGUGACUAACCUACCCUCGAGUGGGGAAUAACCUCGGGAAACCGGGGCUAAUACCGCAUAACAUCUACGGAUCAAAUGCGUAAGCAGCUUGAGGAGGGGGUCGCGGCUGAUUAGCUAGUUGGCGGGGUAACGGCCCACCAAGGCAAUGAUCAGUAGCCGGCCUGAGAGGGCGCACGGCCACACUGGAACUGAAACACGGUCCAGACUCCUACGGGAGGCAGCAGUGGGGAAUUUUGCGCAAUGGGGGAAACCCUGACGCAGCAACGCCGCGUGGAGGAUGAAGCCCCUUGGGGUGUAAACUCCAUUCGAUCGGGACGAUUAUGACGGUACCGGAUGAAGAAGCACCGGCUAACUCUGUGCCAGCAGCCGCGGUAAUACAGAGGGUGCAAGCGUUGUUCGGAAUUAUUGGGCGUAAAGGGUGCGUAGGCGGUGCGGUAAGUCUUCUGUGAAACCUCCGGGCUUAACUCGGAGCCUGCAGAGGA
rnacentral:rRNA from 1 species